rnacentral:rRNA from 1 species
UACGUAGGGUGCGAGCGUUAAUCGGAUUUACUGGGCGUAAAGCGUGCGCAGGCGGCCCGUUAAGACAGGUGUGAAAUCCCUGGGCUCAACCUAGGAAUUGCGCUUGUGACUGGCGGGCUCGAGUACGGUAGAGGGGGGUGGAAUUCCUGGUGUAGCAGUGAAAUGCGUAGAGAUCAGGAGGAACACCGAUGGCGAAGGCAGCCCCCUGGGCCUGUACUGACGCUCAUGCACGAACGCGUGGGGAGCAAACAGG